UGCAAACCCUGAGAGAUUGAAGCUGCUGCAUCAAACUUUCCACCCCUGCCGCCGCCGUCAGUGCAGGUCGCUUCCACCACUGCCAGCUUCUCCGUCUUUGACUACUCUCCCUCUUUUCAAGUGCAGAAUGGUGUCGAAUCAGACUACCAUGGAAAUUGAGACUGGGGCAUCUGAAGCCAAAGUAUUGCCACCGAAGCCAAAGUUUGAGGCGUUGAAGCCUCAUGAGAUGUCUGAUGGACAGAUUCAGUUCCGGAAGGUGAAUGUUCCACCUCAUCGUUAUACCCCUCUCAAGAAAGCUUGGAUGGAUAUCUAUACUCCCAUUUUUGAACAGAUGAAAAUUGAUGUGCGCAUGAAUUUGAAGGCUCGUAGAGUUGAGCUGAAGACAAGGGCCGACACACCUGAUAUUAGUAACCUGCAAAAAUGUGCUGAUU
rnacentral:sRNA from 1 species